AACACUCCGAUGUUAUUGCAGCUCGCCUCUGUUUUCGCUUCUAUGUAUCGUUUCUGGAAACUUCACCACAAAGAAAUUGCUCAAACUAUAAUCUCUACUCAUUUCUCUCGAUCUCCUUUUUUUUGUCUAUUCAUCGACUAACCAAUUACUUCUGAGCUUUGAAGUAACCGACUCACAACUGCUCACUGAUUACCCACAGAUUCCGGCGUUGGCACUGCGGUUCUUCGUCGUGCGAAAACCCACAAUAAAGAUGCGAAAAACUUCAACUUUCCCGUAGUGCGUUUGGCGGUGUAGAAUUGCAGUCAGCUACAUAUUCUGGUAGCGGCAGGUGUUCGUCUUGCGGAAACAAUCUGGGCGGCAAAGCAAACAAUACCAUGCAUCGAACAGAGACUACAACAUCUGUAAGAUGUGCACAAAAAACUAUGGCAAUAUUGGACAAAGCUGGAAUUAAGCUCUCAAUUUACAGCCACAAAGAACAACAUACAGAGAAGGCAGUUUAGCGCAGAUUUCACACACAGGUAAAGCAAAUCAGGAACAUAUUGCAGAUGAAAUAUCAAGUCAAUAUUUCAUAGAGUUUGAAUGUAGAAUAGCAGUUUGUGAAAGCCUUCUGGCCCCAAGAACAGUUCAACAGGAUUCACAAUUGGAGCAAAUGCUGACACCAAUUGCAAAUAAACAACAGCAAUGUAUCAAUAAGAACAACAUGAGUGCCAAUCAGAACAGAUAGUGUUGGUUAACUUAACCAUUCGGGACAUCUUAACCAUGAAAAACUAUAUCAAAUUUGAUUGGCACUUGACCCAUCCCCUUACUCGUGUAAUUCCGAUCACACACCAUGUAAAUGUAGUGAAGAUGACACGUAGCUAUAACAGAUUUUGUUGGAAAGCAAAUGAGUAACCAUUUCUUUUGUUCAAGAACAUGAUAUUAACUUACCUUCUACUUGUCCAAGUUUUUGAGGUAGAUUGUUAGCGCUGCAUAACCACCCAUUGAGUGACCGGAGAUGGAUGCCGUUGCUGUAUCAGCCUGUGGAAAGUGUUCAGAAACCUGUAACAUCUUCUUCGUUGAUUCCAGAAACCUGUAAUUUGUUUUUGGCUUUGUGUUCAUAUAAUAUGUUUUUUCGCUUUGUGUUGAA